GAAAUCCUGCCUCCUCUGUAAGGUGGGAGUUAUCCGACUCCCGUCUCCAGUGGGGAAGCCAGGCUCAGGGAGGUUAAGUAGCCGGCAGAGGUUUCGCAGCUAGAAAGGGCGGCUGAGCCAGGAUUGAGGGUGCAGGCCUGUGGGCUCCCAAUGCCUGCAGCCUGAGCCCCCAGCUGGGCUGCCCCCGCCAGGCUCCUGAAGCUGCCAGAGAGGAAGGCUUGCAGGCCCUGGCAAGAAAUAGGGGGCCCGGAUCCCGCCUCUGGCUCUGCCCCUCUCGGGUGGUUAUCAGGGAUGAAGCAGGAACAGGGGUGCCAGCCCCACGUCACCAUGACCUGCCCAGUGGCCUUGGAUGGCCUCGCGGCCUCUGUAAAGGAGCUGAUGGUGCCUUCCUCUGGCAGGUAGGGCAGACUGGAUGACGUUUCAGGAUACUAUCCCAUCCCAGGAUUGCAUGAUUCUUGAAUUUCUGGAGUUUUGAAAUGAUAAAGAAUGUCUCCGUGUUCAGAGGGUCUGGGCUCCAGGGCAGAAGCCAGUCCUGUGGACGCUGAGCAUCUGUGCCCCCCAGCGCCCCGAGAGCUUCCCUUGCUUGUGGCUACCGCACGUCCAGCUCCAUUCCGUUCCCACAUACCUUGCGGAGGGUGGCUCUGCUUCUCGCCCCACAGUGCCCCGCCCCUGCCACCCCUCUCUCCAGGGUCUGCGACAAGAGUCUGUCCCACCAUCAAUCUGACCGAGGCACUGGCGUCUUGCAGACCCCUCUGUGCUUCCCCAGGUCUCAGCACUCCACACCGAGUCUCUCCCCCGCCUCAGAGACCCUCAUCUUGUUACGGAAUCUGGAAUGGAUCACCCGACGGAAGAACCAAGUGGCACCCGGAGAUCUUGGAGGAUCAGAGGUUUAUUUAACGCCGGUGGGCUCAGAGGAGAGUGGUCUCCAAAGGUCUGAGCCCCGAGCACAAAGGGGGGCAAUUUAUACACUUCUUCCUCUGCAUACUUGGCACUUUCGGCGCGUGCGCGAAGCGUGGCAGGGAGAAGAACCCGGAAGAGCCCCGGGGCAAGGACUGGGACUCUCUCACUGGCUCGGUCGGCCAUCUUAGGACACAGAUUUUCCUUAUCAAUCUAGGUCCCCAGGAUGUCCUCGCUGCCUGAGGAUUCCCUCGGCCAGAGCCACCCGUCAGGUCUGUGAUAAUUUGUGAGAGGAGCAACCGAAAAUGAAUAUACUGAGUGACAUCUCUUCUUGUGACACGUCUCAGGGAAUUGUUCUCCACGUGCACAUGUCCAGGGAUGGACGCUGGGCGGCAGGAAGCGAGGCAUCUGUGAGCUGGCAGGUCCUGGAGCCCUUAUGCCUGUGUGGCAUGUGGCAGGACCCCGUCAGCUCUACACAGAGCAGUACGCUCUCUCACACCUGUCCAUCUAGUGAACGUGUGACCCUCCGGUUUAGGAUGAUUCCUCCCAGGCUCUCGGGAGCAGGUGCGGCAGACCUACCUGGAAGCCAUGUGUUGAAGAGGCUGGGUCCCAAGACAUGGAGCGUGUGUGUCCCAGCCCCGCACCCUGUGGACUCGUGGUGUGAGCGAGGUGUGGCCUCGGUUUGUGAUACCUCGAGAUUCCUGGGUUCACUUCUUAUCUGGGCCCGGCCACCUACACUGGAGGAUUCCCCGGGUUUAGGAAGAGCCCCGUGGUCUUGAGAAGGCGCUGAGCGUGUAGCUGGAGAACAUGAGCACGAUGGGUUAGUACUGCGGGAAGCUGAGGGAACGGUCGCGGGGUUGGCGGGGUCGGGGGGGGGGGCAGACCAGCAAGGCAGAGCAGCGGCCCCGGAAGAGGAAGCCUGCCUCGGGAGAGCACUUUUCACUCUUGGAAGCUUCUCCCAAGUCUCCUGUGAUCCCGCUCUGGGUUUUUAUCUGUUUUCUUGGGGACCUCAUUCCAUGCAUCUCACAGUGGGUCCAUGGCACCUACAGCUUCUAGAACAACGAAUAAGUCAUGUUGGAUCAAGUUGAUCAGUUUUUAGGCACAGCCAGGAUAAGGACUUCUAAAAGUAAAUGGUUUUUGAAAAUAAACUUUUGAGACUUUUUAGUGGAGAAAUCCAUGAAAGCCAUUCCAGCAUCCCCUAUAAAGCACAUACAUCGGCACUUACUCUAUUAUGAGUAAAAAUCUUGCUCCCUGGAUCCUUACAGGUGAGUAUAUCCCUCCUAUAAGGCUAUUAAUACAUGAUAAGGAUAGUCCAGCACCCUUUACCAUAAAUUCUAAAUCAAAGUAUAAUGUGCAGAGACUUACUAAUUAUAUAUGCUGUGCCUACUGCCUUUGUAUUCCCAUAAAAUGACCAUUAAGGUAAAAUAGAUAAAAUCAGAAUUUUAUGCGAGGUGUCUUUAUUCUC